GUAAAUUUUUAUAGUCGAGGGAUUUUUAAAAAUUUAGCCUCUUGGGAAGUAGAGGUUUCUUUUUGAAGCCGGCCGAAGGGAUAAUGUAAAUUUCUGCCACAGGCAACGUCGAAGGAAACAGAUUUGAGGCUCCCUCACAGAGCUGUUUGCGUGCGUUUUACACACCCUCUUCCAGAACCAAAACCAAGUGGCUUGAAUGUGGCAAUUGUCCAAGGCCAAUAGACAGGAUUUCAUGCGCAAACUACAGCCUAGAAGAAAUCCUAUGCAUAGAAUUACUUAGGUACUUUGAUUCUACUUGCAUUUACUGUAUUUUCUCCUCUUCUAAAGUAUCAGCUUACUGAAUAAUUAAAUAAUUGCUAGGGAAUAUACAGUCCACGUGGCAAAUGAGGGUAAGCAAUUUAUUGACUCUGUGGUUUAAAGCCUUCUUUAGUGACUGUUUUGCCUAAGUGGUUUUGCUUUUUAUUGUCUCACGUUCCUAAAUGUACAGCUGUGUAUAUUUUGGCCUUUAUGUGUGGUUUGGUUGGUGUGUUCAGAAGGGAAGUUCUCUCUUGGCUUUUUGACAGAAAUGGUCGUUUAUAGGUUGGGAUUUGUUUGAAUAACUCCACAGCUGGCAAAAUAUCAGGAAAAUAAUCCAGUCAAGUCCAAUUCUCUAAAACCGGUCUUGAUGGUGAUGAUGGGGGAGGGGCCAAGAGGAGGCAAAGGCAAAUAAUACAUAGGAGGGAUAAGAAAUGCAUUUGGUUACCAUGUUGCGUUUUUUGGAAUGAAAAACGUUCUCCCUAAGAUAAGCGUCAUGGACAGAAGUGUAUAAAUUAGAGGGCAAGGCUCAGAGAAGUACAUCCAGUUACAGGAGCCAUUUUCUCCCUUAAUUCUGUUAUAGAACCACUGUCUCCUAUUAGGAGUCAUACGGAAAGCGUAUUCAAAUCUGUAUGGGCAGAUUGGAGUGAAAGGAUAGAAAAUAUACGGGGUGAUAAGGGAGAAACUAGAAUGUCACAAAUUAAAUAGUGACCACGAGAUAAAACAAGGAUCUACUGUAGAGUUCAAAUUUGAG
ensembl:lncRNA